GGGACAGGGUUGCUAAGUGAUCUUCACAAACUUCUGACAAUAACUGACAAUUAACUGUUUGGGACAUAGUGCAGAGAGUAAGAGAGCGUACGAGUCACAGUUAUAGGGAGGUAACUAAGGAAUAGUCCAACUAAGGUCUAAACAAUUAGUUAGGGCUUGGUUGAUGAGGGAACAAGCUCUUACGGUGUGUUCAUGUACAAAGGCUGUUGAAUAAAGAAACGUGAACCAUCAGUUUGAGAGAUCAUCCUUUCAACCGGGACGCUACACUAUAUACUUUUGAAACAA